GCUUACAGCCAUACCACCCUGAACCCGCCCAAUCUUGUCUGAUCUCGGAGGGUAAGCAGGGUCGGGUCUGUUUAGUAUAUGGUUGGGAGACCACCUAGGAAUACCAGGUGCUGUAAGCU
rnacentral:rRNA from 1 species